rnacentral:rRNA from 1 species
CCUACGGGGUGCUGCAGUGAGGAAUAUUGGUCAAUGGACGAGAGUCUGAACCAGCCAAGUAGCGUGAAGGAUGACUGCCCUAUGGGUUGUAAACUUCUUUUAUAAAGGAAUAAAACGAGGCACGUGUGCCUUUUUGCAUGUACUUUAUGAAUAAGGAUCGGCUAACUCCGUGCCAGCAGCCGCGGUAAUACGGAGGAUCCGAGCGUUAUCCGGAUUUAUUGGGUUUAAAGGGAGCGUAGAUGGGUUGUUAAGUCAGUUGUGAAAGUUUGCGGCUCAACCGUAAAAUUGCAAUUGAUACUGGCAGUCGUGAGUACAGUUGAGGUAGGCGGAAUUCGUGGUGUAGCGGUGAAAUGCUUAGAUAUCACGAAGAACCCCGAUUGCGAAGGCAGCUUACUAAACUGUGACUGACAUUGAUGCUCGAAAGUGUGGGUAUCAAACAGGAUUAGAUACCCCGGUAGUC